CUACAAGAGAACUUGCAAAACAAGUGGAUAAAGAAUUUUUUGAAUCUGCUCCUGGUCUGGAUACACUGUGUGUUUAUGGUGGUGUACCCAUUUCACACCAGAUGAGCUCCCUUGAUAGAGGAGUAGAUAUUAUUGUGGGUACAACACUGUGUGUUUAUGGUGGUGUCCCCAUUUCACGCCAGAUGAGCUCCCUUGAUAGAGGAGUAGAUAUUAUUGUGGGUACACCAGGUCGGGUUAUUGAUCUGCUGAAGAGGGGUGCUUUGAAUUUGUCAGAGAUCCAGUUUGUUGUUCUAGAUGAAGCUGAUCAAAUGCUUAAUG
rnacentral:lncRNA from 1 species